UGGGGAAUUUUGGACAAUGGGCGAAAGCCUGAUCCAGCAAUGCCGCGUGUGUGAAGAAGGCCUUCGGGUUGUAAAGCACUUUUGUCCGGAAAGAAAUCCUUGGCUCUAAUACAGUCGGGGGAUGACGGUACCGGAAGAAUAAGCACCGGCUAACUACGUGCCAGCAGCCGCGGUAAUACGUAGGGUGCAAGCGUUAAUCGGAAUUACUGGGCGUAAAGCGUGCGCAGGCGGUUUGCUAAGACCGAUGUGAAAUCCCCGGGCUCAACCUGGGAACUGCAUUGGUGACUGGCAGGCUAGAGUAUGGCAGAGGGGGGUAGAAUUCCACGUGUAGCAGUGAAAUGCGUAGAGAUGUGGAGGAAUACCGAUGGCGAAGGCAGCCCUCUGGGCCAAUACUGACGCUCAUGCACGAAAGCGUGGGGAGCAAACAGGAUUAGAUACCCUGGUAGUCCACGCCCUAAAACGAUGUCAACUAGUUGUUGGGGAUUCAUUUCCUUAGUAACGUAGCUAACGCGUGAAGUUGACCGCCUGGGGAGUACGGUCGCAAGAUUAAAACUUAAAUGAAUUGACGGGGUCAUAGCUGUUUCCU
rnacentral:rRNA from 1 species